CCUCGGCCAUCGCUCCUUGUCUCAAAGACUAAGCCAUGCACGUCUGAGUGUGAACACUUUGCACUGUGAAACUGCGAAUGGCUCAUUAAAUCAGUUAUCAUUUAUUUGGUGGUCUCCUUASCACUCGGAUAACCGUGGUAAUUCUAGACCUAAUACGUGCAGCAUAUCCCGACUUCUGGAAGGGAUGUAUUCAUUGGAUAAAAGGCCGAUCAGGGCUUGCCCGUUGUUGCAGCGAAUCAUGGUGACUUGUGGAAUCGCAUGGCCUUUGAGCCGACGAUGUUCCAUUCAAAUUCUGCCCUAUGAAUUUUCGAUGGUAGGAUAGAGGCCUACCAUGGUGGUAACGGGUGAUGGAGAAUUAGGGUUCGAUUGCGGAGAGGGAGCCUGAGAGAUGSCUACCACAUCCAAGGAAGGCAGAAGGAGCAUAAAUUACCCAAUCCUGACAUAGGGAGGUAAUGACAAUGAAUAACAAUACUGGGCUCUUUUGAGUCCGGUAAUUGGAAUGAGAAUAGCCGUAAACUCCUUAAAUGAGGAUCCAUUGGAGGGCAAGUCUGGUGCCAGCVGCCGCGGUAAUUCCAGCUCCAACAGCAUAUAUUUAAGUUGUUGCAGUUCAAAAGCUCGUAGUUGGAUUUUGGGUGGGAGGGGUUGGUCCGCUCUUGCGGGYGUGUACCGGCCCUUUCGCCUUUCUUGCCGGGUAUGCGUUCCUUGCCUUUAUUGGCUGGGAUCCAGAGCCGGCGCUGUUACUUUAAAAGAAUUAGAGUGUUCAAAGCAGGCCUGUGCUCUGAACAUAUUAGCAUGGAAUAACGCGAUAGGACUCUGGUCCUAUUUCGUUGGUCUUCGRGAUUGGAGUAAUGAUUAAUAGAGACGGUUGGGGGCAUUGGAAUUCCAUUGUCACARGUGAAAUUCCUGGAUUURUGGAUGAUGAACUUCUGCGAAAGCAUUUGCCAAGRACKUUCUCAUUAAUCAAGAAUGAAAGUUGGGGGAUCGAAGACGAUCARAUACCGUCCUAGUCUCAACCAUAAAYGAUGYCGACUAGGGAUUGGCGGAUGUCUAUUGGAUGACUCUGCCAGCACCUUGUGAGAAAUCAAAGUUUACGGGUUUCGGGGGGAGUAUGGUCGCAAGGCUGAACCCCGGUGCCCUGCCUCGCCCCCCGAACGAGGGGUCGGGCGGGCCCGUGGCAGCGGCUGGUGGCGACGGCUUUGCAACUUCUUAUUGAUGUACCUGCUCUGAUUUGUCGCUGUCUGGGUUGACAGCCCCCUUCUGUUCUGGUCGAGGGGUCGGUACUGUCGGAACGGCACCAUAUUGUAGAACUCUCGGCAAACGAAUAUUUUGGCCCUCGCAGCAAUGAAGAGUGCAGCGAAAUGCGGUACUGAAUGUGAAUUGCAGAAAUCCGUGAGCCAUCGAUACCUUGAACGCUCGUGGCGCCCGAGGCUUCUGCCGAGGGCACGCCCGCCUGAGCAUCAUUGGAUUCCUCCGUUUCGGAGAGUGGUGGGGUCCGUGGUCGUGGCUUCCCUCACUUCCCACUUGGAGAGCGUGGAUAGCCUAAAGUGGAAGAGAAUUGGAGAGCAUUCCGAGCGGGCCUGUGGGGGCCGGAGCCUAGAACGGUGCGUUUCAGGGUGGUGGUCUUUCUUCCCUGAAAACGGCACGUAAGGUCGUCCCUCCGGUUUGUGCCCUGUUGUUGCCCUCCGCCCUGUUGUUGCCCUCCAGCACCCGUUUGUGGGUGGUGGUCUUCGUUUCCCUGAAAACGGUACGUAAGGUCGUCCCUCCAGU
rnacentral:rRNA from 1 species